GUUCUGCCUGCUACAACUUUGGUAGAGCAUGAGACUUUUAAUCUCAAGGUUGUGGGUUCAUGCCCCAUGCUGGGCG